AGUGAACGCUGGCGGUAGGCUUAACACAUGCAAGUCGAACGGCAGCACAGUAAGAGCUUGCUCUUACGGGUGGCGAGUGGCGGACGGGUGAGGAAUACAUCGGAAUCUACUUUUUCGUGGGGGAUAACGUAGGGAAACUUACGCUAAUACCGCAUACGACCUACGGGUGAAAGCAGGGGAUCUUCGGACCUUGCGCGAUUGAAUGAGCCGAUGUCGGAUUAGCUAGUUGGCGGGGUAAAGGCCCACCAAGGCGACGAUCCGUAGCUGGUCUGAGAGGAUGAUCAGCCACACUGGAACUGAGACACGGUCCAGACUCCUACGGGAGGCAGCAGUGGGGAAUAUUGGACAAUGGGCGCAAGCCUGAUCCAGCCAUACCGCGUGGGUGAAGAAGGCCUUCGGGUUGUAAAGCCCUUUUGUUGGGAAAGAAAAGCAGCAGGUUAAUACCCCGCUGUUCUGACGGUACCCAAAGAAUAAGCACCGGCUAACUUCGUA
rnacentral:rRNA from 1 species